CCGACGGGCCGAAUCCAGCAGAUGAAUGGGUCAGCAGAGGAAAGAUUCUUUUCAGGUGAAAGCUCAUCCUGUUUUUGGUGCUGGCAAGAAGGCAAAAGAUCCAAUUUUUGGUCUUGCAAUGGGUGGUGGUUCUCAGACCUCAGAUGAUAAUUUCAGGUCCCCAUAUCAUGCAGAAAUUGAGGAUGGCAUAUUUCCAGGGUUCACCGAUUGAAAAAUGCUCUAUAUAUUUUCCAAUAGAUGGUUUUGCAUUGAAAGUGGAAGCGUUGAUAAUCCUCCUAUUGUUUUAAUUCAUGGCUUCCCUUCGCAGGAAUAUUCUUAUCGCAAAGUUCUUCCUGUACUCUCCAAGGACUAUCAUGCCAUUGGUUUUGAUUGGCUAGAGAGAGAGACCAAGAGAGAGACGAACAAAGAGGGAGAGCAGGAGCUCUCUGCUCCACGCACCAAAAUGAAAUGAAUUGUAAAUGAAGAAGAAAUGAUGGUAAGAAGACAAAAAUAGAGGCCACUCACAUGGGUUUGUUUUCUAAAAUUUGAUUUUUUUAAAAAAAUAUAAUUUUUGUAAUAAUACUUCAAAAUUUUAUAAUAUAAAUUAUAAAAUGAUAUAAUUUUUUCACACCACAAAAUAUAAUAUUUUGAUCAUUACG